rnacentral:rRNA from 1 species
UACGGGGGGGGCAAGCGUUGUUCGGAAUUACUGGGCGUAAAGGGUCUGUAGGUGGCCAACUAAGUCAGACGUGAAAUCCCUCAGCUUAACUGGGGAACUGCGUCUGAGACUGGAUGGCUCGAGUGCAGGAGAGGAAUGCGGAAUUCCAGGUGUAGCGGUGAAAUGCGCAGAUAUCAGGAGGAACACCGGUGGCGAAGGCGGUUCUCUGGCAAUGUUCUGACGCUGAGGAGCGAAAGUGUGGGGAGCGAACAGG